GGACGCCAGUCUGCAUGGAGCCGACCUUGAAAUACCACCCUUUAAUGUUUGAUGUUCUAACGUGGACCCGUGAUCCGGGUUGCGGACAGUGUCUGGUGGGUAGUUUGACUGGGGCGGUCUCCUCCUAAAGAGUAACGGAGGAGCACGAAGGUUGGCUAAUCCUGGUCGGACAUCAGGAGGUUAGUGCAAUGGCAUAAGCCAGCUUGACUGCGAGCGUGACGGCGCGAGCAGGUGCGAAAGCAGGUCAUAGUGAUCCGGUGGUUCUGAAUGGAAGGGCCAUCGCUCAACGGAUAAAAGGUACUCCGGGGAUAACAGGCUGAUACCGCCCAAGAGUUCAUAUCGACGGCGGUGUUUGGCACCUCGAUGUCGGCUCAUCACAUCCUGGGGCUGAAGUAGGUCCCAAGGGUAUGGCUGUUCGCCAUUUAAAGUGGUACGCGAGCUGGGUUUAGAACGUCGUGAGACAGUUCGGUCCCUAUCUGCCGUGGGCGCUGGAGAACUGAGGGGGGCUGCUCCUAGUACGAGAGGACCGGAGUGGACGCAUCACUGGUGUUCGGGUUGUCAUGCCAAUGGCACUGCCCGGUAGCUAAAUGCGGAAGAGAUAAGUGCUGAAAGCAUCUAAGCACGAAACUUGCCCCGAGAUGAGUUCUCCCUGAGACUUAAAGUCUC
rnacentral:rRNA from 1 species